rnacentral:lncRNA from 10 species
AUUAAUCACAAGGAGAAAGAGAGAGGCAUGCAACUCCCCCCAGGGAGCCAAGAGGCUGGCAAGGCAUUCUUCACAGAAAGCUUAUUCCAGAACAAGACGCACAGCGUGGGGGGAAGUUUCCAGAGAGCCACCCAGAGGACAGGAGGCCCACGGUGCUGGACUCACCUGCACGCCUGCAGAGCAAAGGGGAUGUCUCCACAUCCCACACUGUCAAGAGGCAGGGUCUUGCUGUGUCACCCAGGUUGAAGUGUAGUGGAAUGACCUUGACUCACUGCAACCUCUGCCUCCCAGGUUCAAGUGAUCCUCCCACCUCAGCCUCCUGAGUAACUGGGACUACAAGUGUUAACCACCGUGCCCGGCUAAUUUUUGUAUUUUUGUAGAGACAGGGUUUCCCCAUGUUGCCCAGGCUGGUCUCAAACUUGUGAGCUCAAGCGAUCAUCCCACAUCGGCCUCCCAAUGUGCUGGGAUUACAGAAGUGAGUCACCACGCCCGGCCAGAU